GAAUUUAUAUAAUUUUCAGUUAAAAAUAAUUAAUGAUUAAUUAUUCACCGAAUCGGUAAAAACGUUGAAGACGGAGUCAUUCGCAUAAAUAGGCCUCAAAUUAAUCUAAUCAUAAUUGGAAGAUGGCGAUUUUGUAAUUGUGCUUUUCGGUUGAAUAAUUUCCAGCCCAAAAUGUAGAUGUACCAUUACAAUUUUGAAGAUUGGACAAACCAAAGCUUGAAUCUGAAUUAAAAAAAAUAUAGAAAAAAAGAUUGUGAACCCUUAUUCCAAGGAGGGAGCCGUUUCAGCCCUAAUAUACCAUACUUUAAUUUCUCUACCAAGGGAAAGACCAAAAAAUAAGCUACAGUAACAAUGUUUUGUUGUUUAUAUGGUGUUUCGAAGAGCUAUUUACAUUGAUAAUUCCAAGAAAGUCGAUUGAGAUUGUAAGGUAUUUAAAAUUUGUUACCUUUGGAGGCACCUCUCUGGGAUGAGAUUAGCACGGAGCCUGGCGACCGCGUACAGAUGCCACAGCAGGUCGUCCGUGUAGCAGCUGCUGAGAAUGCUGAUCUGAUCUCCAAUUGUGGUCCAUUAAUUAAAUUCUAGUAUUUAAAAAGUAACACGAAUAAAAUAUCAGCUAGUUGGCACACUCGAAAACCAGA